GAUGAACGCUGGCGGCGUGCCUAAUACAUGCAAGUCGAGCGAACAGACGAGGAGCUUGCUUCUCUGACGUUAGCGGCGGACGGGUGAGUAACACGUGGAUAACCUACCUAUAAGACUGGGAUAACUUCGGGAAACCGGAGCUAAUACCGGAUAAUUUAUUGAACCGCAUGGUUCAAUAGUGAAAGACGGUUUUGCUGUCACUUAUAGAUGGAUCCGCGCUGCAUUAGCUAGUUGGUAAGGUAACGGCUUACCAAGGCAACGAUGCGUAGCCGACCUGAGAGGGUGAUCGGCCACACUGGAACUGAGACACGGUCCAGACUCCUACGGGAGGCAGCAGUAGGGAAUCUUCCGCAAUGGGCGAAAGCCUGACGGAGCAACGCCGCGUGAGUGAUGAAGGUCUUCGGAUCGUAAAACUCUGUUAUUAGGGAAGAACAAAUGUGUAAGUAACUAUGCACGUCUUGACGGUACCUAAUCAGAAAGCCACGGCUAACUACGUG
rnacentral:rRNA from 1 species